rnacentral:rRNA from 1 species
GAUGAACGCUAGCGGCAGGCCUAAUACAUGCAAGUCGGACGGGAUUCAGGAGCUUGCUUCUGAUGAGAGUGGCGCACGGGUGCGUAACACGUAUGUAACCUACCUUUAUCAGGGGGAUAGCCUCUCGAAAGAGAGAUUAAGCCCGCAUAAAAUCACAGCACAGCAUUGUGUAAUGAUCAAAUAUUUAUAGGAUAAAGAUGGGCAUGCGGAACAUUAGCUAGAUGGCGGGGUAACGGCCCACCAUGGCGACGAUGUUUAGGGGAUCUGAGAGAAUGGCCCCCCACACUGGUACUGAGACACGGACCAGACUCCUACGGGAGGCAGCAGUAAGGAAUAGUGGUCAAUGGGCGGAAGCCUGAACCAGCCAUGCCGCGUGCAGGAAGACGGCCCUACGGGUUGUAAACUGCUUUUAGACGGGAAUAAACCCAGAUACGUGUAUCUGGCUGAAUGUACUGUAAGAAUAAGGGUCGGCUAACUCCGUG